rnacentral:tRNA from 1 species
GGAUUGUGGCUUAGUGGUAAAGUGCUUGGCUACCAUGCAUGAGGCACUGAGUUCGAUCCUCAGCACCA